GACGAACGCUGGCGGCGUGCUUAACACAUGCAAGUCGAACGAUGAAGCUGGAGCUUGCUCCGGUGGAUUAGUGGCGAACGGGUGAGUAACACGUGAGAAAUCUGCCCUUGACUCUGGGAUAACUGCGGGAAACUGUAGCUAAUACCGGAUACUUUCCCUGGUGGGCAUCCACUGGGGAAGAAAGAAUUUCGGUCAAGGAUGACCUCGCGGCCUAUCAGCUUGUUGGUGAGGUAAUGGCUCACCAAGGCGACGACGGGUAGCCGGCCUGAGAGGGUGACCGGCCACACUGGGACUGAGACACGGCCCAGACUCCUACGGGAGGCAGCAGUGGGGAAUAUUGCACAAUGGGCGCAAGCCUGAUGCAGCGACGCCGCGUGAGGGAUGACGGCCUUCGGGUUGUAAACCUCUUUCAGCACCGACGAAGCGCAAGUGACGGUAGGUGCAGAAGAAGGACCGGCCAACUACGUGCCAGCAGCCGCCGUAA
rnacentral:rRNA from 1 species